rnacentral:rRNA from 1 species
GACGGACGCUGGCGGCGUGCCUAAUACAUGCAAGUCGAACGCCUCUUUUCCCACCGGAGCUUGCUCCAUCGGGAAAAGAGGAGUGGCGAACGGGUGAGUAACACGUGGGUAACCUGCCCAUCAGAAGGGGAUAACACUUGGAAACAGGUGCUAAUACCGUAUAACAAACGAAACCGCAUGGUUUCGUUUUGAAAGGCGCGUUACGGUGCCGCUGAUGGAUGGACCCGCGGUGCAUUAGCUAGUUGGUGAGGUAACGGCUCACCAAGGCCACGAUGCAUAGCCGACCUGAGAGGGUGAUCGGCCACAUUGGGACUGAGACACGGCCCAAACUCCUACGGGAGGCAGCAGUAGGGAAUCUUCGGCAAUGGACGAAAGUCUGACCGAGCAACGCCGCGUGAGUGAAGAAGGUUUUCGGAUCGUAAAACUCUGUUGUUAGAGAAGAACAAGGGUGAGAGUAACUGUUCACCCCUUGACGGUAUCUAACCAGAAAGCCACGGCUAACUACGUGCCAGCCGCCGCAGUAA